UUUUCAUAAUAAUUAUAUGAUAAUAUUAAUUGAAAUGCUGGAACAUAUAAAAUUGAUGCAAAUAUUUAUACAACAAAAACAAUUAGCCCGGGAGCGAGCGUUUCUUAUGUAUAAUGUCCUCAGUUCAUCAAUAUUAGAAGUUUCGUACGCUAAGAAAAUCUACCAUACAACAAAAUCUGGAUGUGGUAACUACUACCAUGCAAUAAGAAAACACCUCUUACAAACCCAGCUUUUGUUGCAACGUGGAAUUGCUCACAAUAGAGUAGUAUAUAUAGCAUUAACAAUCUGA